GGGGAGUACGGCCGCAAGGUUAAAACUCAAAUGAAUUGACGGGGGCCCGCACAAGCGGUGGAGCAUGUGGUUUAAUUCGAUGCAACGCGAAGAACCUUACCUGGUCUUGACAUCCAGGUGCUGCAUGGCUGUCGUCAGCUCGUGUUGUGAAAUGUUGGGUUAAGUCCCGCAACGAGCGCAACCCUUAUCCUUUGUUGCAACUCAAAGGAGACUGCCAGUGAUAAACUGGAGGAAGGUGGGGAUGACGUCAAGUCAUCAUGGCCCUUACGACCAGGGCUACACACGUGCUACAAUGGCGCAUACAAAGAGAAGCGACCUCGCGAGAGCAAGCGGACCUCAUAAAGUGCGUCGUAGUCCGGAUUGGAGUCUGCAACUCGACUCCAUGAAGUCGGAAUCGCUAGUAAUCGUGGAUCAGAUGCCACGGUGAAUACGUUCCCGGGCCUUGUACACACCGCCCGUCACACCAUGGGAGUGGGUUGCAAAAGAAGUAGGUUACCACUUUGUGAUUCAUGACUGGGGUGAAGUCGUAACAAGGUAACCGA
rnacentral:rRNA from 1 species